rnacentral:other from 1 species
GCGGGGCUGCCCGGCUCGUCAGGCAGAUCAUACCCCUGGGCCGAUAAGCACUUCCUCGGGAGCUGGCGCUGACGUGGCCGUGGUCAUGUUAUCCGGCGCCCACCUGCACUAGCAGGUCCUGGAGGUUGUACAGUCCAACGGCCAUGGUGGCUCCGCA